CUCGCUUCCUCCUUUCUACUGUUUUUUCUGUUUAUUUUUUAAACUUGACAGUCCCUCUUGCCUGGAGCAUUAACACAACGUGGCUGCAAAGUUAGUCCUUUCCCGCUACCAUCUCCUGAAUACUGGGACUAACUACACGUAUGCACGAACCUGCCCAUCUUUGCCUCUGUUAACAGCUGCCACUGUCUCUUCACGACAUGAUGGCUGACCUAGGUUGGAAGGAACAGAGCCAGUUGGCCAUGGACUGAAACUUUUGGAACUGAUUCUGAGGAGUUAAUGUUUCCAUGAAUAUCUCAGAAGGAGAUGUGGACAAACGAACAGUUAUCUCACUCCUGUAGCCCAGGCCCUCCCACCGAGAAGUGGCACUAACCACCACAGGUCAAUAUAAUGGAGACAGUUCUUCAAUUGAUGUUCCCCCUUCCCAGGGGUUUCAUUUGCAAAUGCCUGCAGGAUCCAGAUGGGGGACAUGUGUGAGAUGGCUCCUGCUGGCUGAGCUUUUUAAAGAUGGCUAUUCUGAAUUCUUCACAGAUGGCACAGUGUCAGAAUCGUGUGUGGCCUCCUGCUGCCUGAACCAUGCCGCUAAGACAGUUGCCCACUGUGCAGCUUCACACCAUCUGCAGAGAGCAACACUGCAGAGCCUUUGGGAGAGCCUUGCCAGUCGCUGAAAGCCUGGCUGACUGCCAAGCCUUGCACUGUAGACUGAAAAUUGCUCUCUUUGCUGAGCUCAGUACUAACACUUAGAUCUUCAUGGUCUCCUGGGAGACCAUGUCAGCUGCUGUUCAGUGAGAUAAAUUUGGAUCAGCUGAAGAUAUGCACUCUCUAUGCCUUCCUUGACUGUCAGCUAAACAGUGUGCACUCCUGGCUUAGUACAGCCUUGGCUGCUGAGAGCCCCAUUCCUCCCCUGUGCUCUUCAUUGUCCUCAUGAUCUGGCUUUCAUCAUCCAUUAUACUCCUAACACUGGGAGUGAAGUGUCAUUGAAGAAUGUUCAUCAGGCACUACCUCAAAGGGCUGGAGAUGAUUGGUGAAUGCUUUGAUUCUUCAUUCCUCCUAGGACACAUAUCAAGCCCCCAGAAUUUCUCUCUAUCCAGUUGCACCAGUGUGAGGAACUUGACGGUGUCAGGAAAGUGAAACUGCUUCUCUGCUCCAUAUAAAUGUCUGUGCAGAUGCAAAGCCAUGCA
rnacentral:lncRNA from 1 species